AUUUAUAUUUAUAAUAGUUUUUAUAAACUAAAAAAAAUUAAAAUAAAAAAUUUAUAUAAUAAAUUCAUAAAUAAAUUUUAUAUUUUUAUUAUAUUAAAUUAAAAUUAUAAGAGAUCUAAAAUAAAAAUAAAAAGUUAUAUAAAGAGGCCGUCAAGUGUUGGCAUCUGCAGAAGGAGAAUGGGCUAGGAAAAGAAAGCACUCGAAAGAGCUCGGACCGACCUGCUGUUGCCUCAUCAUCUACUCCAUCUGCGCUAUCCACUCCAUCAUCU
rnacentral:lncRNA from 1 species